AUACGUAGGGGGCGAGCGUUGUCCGGAAUGAUUGGGCGUAAAGGGCGCGUAGGCGGCCUGUUAAGUCUGGAGUGAAAGUCCUGUUUUCAAGAUGGGAAUUGCUUUGGAUACUGAUGGGCUUGAGUGCAGGAGAGGUUAUCGGAAUUCCCGGUGUAGCGGUGAAAUGCGUAGAGAUCGGGAGGAACACCAGUGGCGAAGGCGGGUAACUGGACUGCAACUGACGCUGAGGCGCGAAAGUGUGGGGAGCAAACAGGAGUAGAUACCCUGGUAGUCCACACUGUAAACGAUGAAUGCUAGGUGUAAGAGGUAUCGACCCCUUUUGUGCCGGAGUUAACACAAUAAGCAUUCCGCCUGGGGAGUACGGCCGCAAGGUUGAAACUCAAAUGAAUUGACGGGG
rnacentral:rRNA from 1 species